GAUGAAGAACGCAGCGAAAUGCGAUACGUAGUGUGAAUUGCAGAAUCCAGUGAAUCAUCGAAUCUUUGAACGCACGUUGCGCCCGCCGGCAUCCCGGCGGGCAUGCCUGUUCGAGCGUCAUUACAACCCUCAGGCCCCCGGGCCUGGCGUUGGGGAUCGGCGGAAGCCCCCUGCGGGCACAACGCCGUCCCCCAAAUACAGUGGCGGUCCCGCCGCAGCUUCCAUUGCGUAGUAGCUAACACCUCGCAACUGGAGAGCGGCGCGGCCACGCCGUAAAACACCCAACUUCUGAAUGUUGACCUCGAAUCAGGUAGGAAUACCCGCUGAACUUAAGCAUAUCAAUAAGCGGAGGA
rnacentral:misc_RNA from 1 species